AUCAGAGCUUUUCAAUUUAUUUUAUCUUAUUAUAUUUUACAAUUUUAAAGAGUUUAUUUAUUUAUGAGACACAGAGAGAGGCAGACACAGGCAGAGGGAGAAGCAGACUCCCUGUGGGGAGCCUGAUGUGGACUUGAUCCCAGGACCCCAGGGAUGCGCCCUGAGCCGAAGGCAGACGCUCCACCGCUGAGCUACCCAGGCACCCCGCCUCAAUUUAUUUUAAUUGCAACCCCGAACCUUGCAAUUUCCUGCAUGCAUGUGUCCAUAUAUAUAUGUCCGUGCAUCUCUAUAUUUACUUUUUUUUGAGGCUGUCUUAUGCAGGAUGUGGUAAGACGCAAUUUAUCAAACGUAGGUGAUAGGAGAAUGAUUUUUCAGAGGACGUUUGGCAAGUGUCCAUGAAAGCCUUAAAAUAUUUAUUUCCCCUUUGUGUUAGGAAUUGGAUUUCUAGACGUACAGUCCGAGUGCAUGAUCAGAGAUGGAGACAAAGAUGUCUGUGGCCGUCCUAAAUUAGAUUCAGUCUUCGUAUCCUGCCCAUUAAGACACAACGCUGAGCGACAGUGUAGAUCUGCUUGGUGGAACCUCGUUUUUAGAUGCUGGGCUCAGGCUGUCUGCAGAGUCGCCCCAGUGGCAGAGAGCAGCCCUGCCUCGAUGUGUCUGUGAGGAGUGACUGCACCGAGGGCUUCUCGACACGCUGCUGUGGGUCGGCUUUUGCACAUGGCCCUGUGGUGCAGACGCUGGUCCCGCGUGCUUCCAGCCUCAUGCAGGCCCAGGCUCAGGGUCGAUGCUCCGCAAGACAGCGCUGAACGACUCGAUGGUGGAACGGACAGAGGCACAUGCAAGCUGCGGCUCUCACACGGGGCCAGUCGAGGCCCUUGAUGCUGCCGUUAGGCGCUUCUGCUAUCCAGCUCAAAACAAGAGCAACAACCUCCAAGAAUCUUGGAGUGUAAAGACGUCAGGUCGGCCUUGCUUUAGCGAGUGUGUCUGUCUCCGGUCCUCACUCUGGAAAUACUCCCUGGUGAUGCUGCCCCUGGUGAGUCCUUCACAAGCUCUGCCCGCGGCUGACAGCCCCGCUCAAGGAGGACGCUCCUGCAACAUGAUAUCAGAGGGAUCUGGUUCCUGUCACAAGGAGAAAGUGACCCCCAUAUAGCUGGCUGCCAACCUGAAGGCACCUGCAUGUUUCUGUCCUCACCGUGCCUCUCACAACAUCUGGUGCUUCUGGCCGACUGAGCAGACUGCAUUUAAGAGCCACAUUUCCCAACCUCCAAAGAGGAACUGGCAGUUCCCUCCCCAACACUGGCUCAAGGAUUGACAUAUGGCCUGAAUGGGGCCACCACGGGGUGAGAAGUUUUCAGGGGGUUAUGAGAAAGAAGCUGCUCCCUUGGCCUGCCACAUGGACUCUAAACGGACCCCUCCUCUCUCCAGGUGGUGGGACAGAGGAGGGGUAAGUGGAGUGUUGUUAGCCAUGUUGCCACCACCAGGGAAGCUGACAGGAAUGAAGGCGGAGGGGACAAAUGGAACCUACCACACUGUGGAUGACACUGUUGAGCCACUGAAUCCAACCAGAUCCGAAGUGUCUUUUAUUUAACUUGAGGAUUUCCGGGUCAUGAGCAAAUAAAUCCUGAGACUGUUUGUGCCA
rnacentral:lncRNA from 12 species